GGCGUGCCUAACACAUGCAAGUCGAACGAAUCAUUUACACGGAUUUCCUUCGGGGAUGAAGGGUUUAUGACUGAGUGGCGGACGGGUGAGUAACGCGUGGGCAACCUGCCCCGUACCGGGGGACAACAGCCGGAAACGGCUGCUAAUACCGUAUACGUUUUAAGGACCGCAUGGUCCGUAAAACAAAACUCCGGUGGUACGGGAUGGGCCCGCGUCUGAUUAGCUCGUUGGCGGGGUAACGGCCCACCAAGGCGACGAUCAGUAGCCAGCCUGAGAGGGCGGCCGGCCACAUUGGGACUAACACACGGCCCACACUCCUGCGGGAGGCAACUGUGGGGAAUAUUGCACUAUGGGGGAAACCCUGAUGCAGCGACGCCGCGUGAGCGAGGAAGUACCUCGGUAUGUAAAGCUCUGUCAGCAGGGAAGAAAAUGACAGUACCUGACCAAGAAGCCCCGGCUAACUACGUGCCAGCAGCCGCGGUAAUACGUAGGGGGCAAGCGUUAUCCGGAUUCACUGGGCGUAAAGGGAGCGCAGGCGGCACGGCAAGUCUGAUGUGAAAACCCGGGGCUCAACCCCGGGACUGCAUUGGAAACUGCUGGGCUGGAGUGUCGGAGGGGUAGGCGGAAUUCCUGGUGUAGCGGUGAAAUGCUUAGUUAUCAGGAGGAACACCGGUGGCGAAGGCGGCUUGCUGGGCUUCAACUGACGUUGAGGCUGGAAAGCGUGGGGAGCA
rnacentral:rRNA from 1 species